AUGACAGUUGUACAAAGUGUCGUCCUCUUGGCUCUCAUUUCAGCUGCUCAGGGCCAGUCCCUCACCUCCUCAGAGCCAGUGGUCAGCAGAGCUGGAGAACCACUCACUCUGUCCUGUAAAGUGGAAGGACUUGCUCUGACUUGGCUGCACUGGAUUCGUCAGAAACCAGGGAAAGCACUGGAAUGGAUCGGACGCAUUGAUGGUGGAACUGGCACCAUAUUUGCCCAAAGUCUCCAGAACCAGUUUUCUAUCACCAAGACCACGUCCACAAAUCUUGUGUACUUAGAGGUGAAGAGUCUGAAACAAGAAGACUCUGCUGUUUAUUAUUGUGCACGAGAGGCACAGUGA